UGAGGAAUAUUGGUCAAUGGGCGAGAGCCUGAACCAGCCAAGUCGCGUGAAGGAUGAAGGUUCUAUGGAUUGUAAACUUCUUUUAUAGGGGAAUAAAGUGCGGGACGUGUCCCGUUUUGUAUGUACCUUAUGAAUAAGCAUCGGCUAACUCCGUGCCAGCAGCCGCGGUAAUACGGAGGAUGCGAGCGUUAUCCGGAUUUAUUGGGUUUAAAGGGUGCGUAGGUGGUGAUUUAAGUCAGCGGUGAAAGUUUGUGGCUCAACCAUAAAAUUGCCGUUGAAACUGGGUUACUUGAGUAUAUUUGAGGUAGGCGGAAUGCGUGGUGUAGCGGUGAAAUGCAUAGAUAUCACGCAGAACUCCAAUUGCGAAGGCAGCUUACUAAACUAUAACUGACACUGAAGCACGAAAGCGUGGGUAUCAAACA
rnacentral:rRNA from 1 species